rnacentral:rRNA from 2 species
CACACAGUAAACGAUAAUCACUGGGUGUCGGGUUCGCAUAGGAUUCGGUGCCGUAGCUAACGCGUUAAGUGAUUCGCCUGGGGAGUACGAUCGCAAGGUUGAAACUCAAAGGAAUUGACGGGGGCCCGCACAAGCGGUGGAGCAUGUGGUUUAAUUCGAAGCAACGCGAAGAACCUUACCCGGUCUUGACAUCCGAGGGAUCCCUCAGAGAUGGGGGAGUGCCGGCUAGCCGGAACUUCGAGACAGGUGC